AGUCUCAGAGAGUCGGUGUCUGAGUGGGGAGGAGGUGUAUGGCUCAGUCCUGCUCAGCACAGAGGUUUCAGCAUUUCCAGUGGAUGACUAUCAGCUGCAAAAAAACCCCACAGUUCUGAUUUUUUUUGUUGUUGUUGUUUUUAUUAAAGCUGAUGACAUUUCUUAGCAAAUCUAUGAUGUAUAACUGGCCAAGACUUUGAGGCUGACUGCUGAUAUAGAUUCACAAAGCCAUAUUCUUGCCCUCAAUAUUUCUGAGCUAACAAAUGAAGAUAUCAUCUGAGUUUCUGCACUUCGCCCUUGUUUGGUGUUUUGGGGUACAGACUGGACAAACAUGAAAUAGCAGCCAUCCAAGAAUAAAAGAGGGAAGACAGCAGUCAACUAGAUCAUCAUCUUCUCAUCUAGUGCUGUCAUAGGAACAUGGAAUUCCUCUAUACACUCUUUACAGCUGAGUUAUAUUCUGGUAUCUGCCUAGAUCACAGACACAUCUGAAGAAGCGAGCUCCUGUGUCAGUCAUGCUUCCCACUGCGCAAAACCUGGCUACAUGGCACCUUUGUCAUCUGUGUCCCGGAUUGCUGACCUGAAUAGUCCAUGGCACAGAAAGUUUUCAAUUCGGUUUCUUUCAGUAAUCCCAACCACACAGCAAAAUAUGACUAUACAGGGAAAGAAAUUGAUAUAACUAAAGAUUUCUUAUGGAAAUCAGUUUCAUACAAAAAUGGUGUGGUGGGUUGGUUCUGGCUGGCUACCAGGUUCUGAACAAACUGCUCUCCCUCUCUUCCUUCUCAGCAGGAUGGGGGAGAAAAUAAGAUGAAAAACUUGUGGGUCAAGAUAAAGGCAGUUUAAAAAAGAAAAACAAAGGCUGUGUGUAGAAGCAAAGGAAAAGGAAAAUAUUUAUUAUGUACUUCCUAUCAGCAGGUAACGUCCAGCUGCUUUCUGGGAAGCAGGACCUCUGCAUGUGUAGUGGUUGCUUCAGGAGACAAACGCCUUAAUAAUGAAUGCUCCCCCUCCCUUUCUCUUAUCUUUUAUUGUUAAGCUUGAUGUCAUAUGGUAUGGAAUAUCCCUUUGGUCAGAUUGGGUCUGCUGUCCCAGCCGUGUUCCCUGCCAACCUCUUGCUCACCUCCAGUCCUCUGGCCUUUGGUGGGGUGGAUGUUGGGGAGACAGCCUUGAUGCUGUGGGAGUGCUGCUCAGCAGUAGCCAAAACAUUGGUGUGUAGUCAACACCUUUCCAGCUACAAAGCACAGCACCAUGAGGGCUGCUAUGGGGAAUGUUAGCUCCAUCCCAGCCAGACACAAUACAAAGGGACCUCCAAAUAACCUUUUUUUCCCAAAUAAUGAUAAUUUUUCAUGGAGCAAUUAAUAGCAAAUACCACAUAAAGAGUGUCAGCUUUUUCUCAGGUCUCAUCUGAUCAGUAUUUCUGUAUGAUAGAGUGUAGUGAACAUGAUGAACACGGCAAUGUAUUUCUCAUGCUAAACUGGAAUGUUACCUUAUGUUUGUUCAAGAGAGAUUUUAUACACGUGAAAAUCACAGUACAGCAGAGAGGUGUAUAUCGAUUAUUUACUCUGUGUAACAGAGAACUCCAUGUACUUUGAGAAUGGUGUUAGAAGACUCUGGGGUAGGAUGGUGUUCCCAACUAUGGAAAUCCAUAGCUUUCCAACUGAGGCGCUCUAGGAUGUCUGAGACCUCUUCAGAGGCAUGGCAGGUGUGCUGUGGGCAUAAUGUAGGGCAAACAGGCAGCACCUGGAGAACACAGUACAUUAGAGCAACUCAGAUGGUGUUUGAGCCUAAGUUUAUCCAUUAGAAACACUCUCACACUGUUUACGGAUAUGUUUUAAGUAAGGGAAAUGACAUUUAUUUUCCAUAAAGAAAAAGAAAAAGAAUGGUGCAAAUUUUGAGUCAAGUGAAGCUUUUAUCUAUUAACAAUCACUUAUUGACGUACGUAGUCACACCUCAUGCGCAGAAUGUAUCUUUUUAUUAUUUUUUGUUAUCAAUGCAUUGAAAGGGCCUGCGCAGUAUAAUACAAACAAGAGAGCCUAUUGAGCACGACUCCUAAGGAAAUCUUUGUUUGUAGUUUUGGGAAAGAAAGGGUACUACGCAAGCCAAAAGGGCCGAUAUCCUGAGCAAGGAAAUACUCUGCAUCAAUGGACUUUAGUUUCAUUUCUUGAUGACACCUCUGGGGACCAUGGUAAGACUUUGUGGAGGAUUGAAGAGCUGGCUGCAGGCUCUGUUUGCAACAUCUGGUUUCUGGUUUAGCUGCUCUCCAGGCUGGCCCUUAGCACAGGUCUGCACAACCUGACUUUGUUCUGUCCUCCUUCGCCACUGCCAGCAGCUGCAAUGACGUGAGUACUUUCUGACACAGGGCUGCCCUGGCCUUGACUUUCUGUCUGAUGUUAACAGCCAGAGCACAAUGUGGGAGACGCUGAGCUGGCAGCAAGCCAUGGGAGAAGUCCCUCUGCUCUUGGCUGCGCACCAGCAGAGAGCUGUUGUGUUCUCUUGGCAUGGUGAGACAGCCUUUGUGUCAAUGUAUUCUCCAUGGGACGAGUGGAUAUAUUUUACUGGAUUCCUUCUUCUGAGUUCAUAGUCUUUAAUAGAACAAUAUGUCAGACAUUUCAGUGAGUUGACUGCCUUCCUCACAAAGACAAAAUAUUUGCUUGUUGGUAAACAGAGCCAUAUCACACCAGUUUCUAUAAAACGAUAAACUGAUUAAAUUAAAAUGUUGGUAACCUCUUUUUGUCAUGCAACACUCUAUGGAAAUUCUUGGGGAACGGUAAGGUUGGUACACUUAUUUUCCCUCAAAUGCUACAAGAAAUUUAAGUUUUCAGUUAGUUGGGGAAUUGUGGGUUAUUUUUUUAACAACCAUUAAAAAACUGCGUUACUGUAUUCACAAUAUUUUUCAGUAUUGUAUAACUUGCAAACAUUAAAAAUAUUCUGAAAAG